UACAGAGGUCCCAAGCGUUGUUCGGAUUCACUGGGCGUAAAGGGUGCGCAGGCGGGUUUGCAAGUUCGAUGUGAAAGCCCCGGGCUUAACCCGGGAAUGGCAUUGGAUACUGCAGAUCUGGAGGAUCGGAGGGGGGACUGGAAUUCUUGGUGUAGCAGUGAAAUGCGUAGAUAUCAAGAGGAACACCAGUGGCGAAGGCGAGUCCCUGGACGAUACCUGACACUGAGGCACGAAAGCCGGGGGAGCAAACAGG
rnacentral:rRNA from 1 species